UUAGGUGAGGUUCUUGCUGAGAUCUGGAAGGAAAUAUGAACAAGCUUUCAAAGCUAGUUGCAUUUGUGGAAGUCGCUCAGUUUGAUUUAUUGGCAUAACACCAAAAGCCAGAUUCUCCUUCAGGUCUCUCUCUCAAAACUGACUAGCCUGGAAUUAAGGCCACAUGCUAUUGAGAGUUGUUAUCUGUCAAAAUAUCAGGUUUGGGAAUAUCUAGUGAAAUGUUGCCUAAAGAGUCACUAAGUGAUCAAGCAUGGAAUACCAAGCAAUGAAGCAAAAUAUAUUUUCUUUCAUCAUGUAAAUUCAGCUAGCUAGGAAACUUUAUAGCAAUGACAUGUUACUUGGAUUCAAUAUUUGGUGGAUAUAUUGGAAUUUUAUUGAUGUAUCACAUUGCUUUUGGCGUAAAUAUUAAUCAUUGUUCAUUGGAUAA